AUGCAAGUCGAACGAUGAAGCCGCAGCUUGCUGUGGUGGAUUAGUGGCGAACGGGCGAGUAACACGUGAGUAACCUGUCCUUUUCUUUGGGAUAACGGCUGGAAACGGCUGCUAAUACUGGAUAUUCAGGCUGCAUCGCAUGGUGUGGUUUGGAAAGGUUUUUUCUGGGAUUGGGUGGGCUCGCGGCCUAUCAGCUUGUUGGUGGGGUGAUGGCUUACCAAGGCUUUGACGGGUAGCCGGCCUGAGAGGGUGGUCGGUCGCACUGGGACUGAGAUACGGCCCAGACUCCUACGGGAGGCAGCAGUGGGGAAUAUUGCGCAAUGGACGAAAGUUUGAUGCAGCGACGCCGCGUGGAGGGUGUAGGCCUUCGGGUUGUGAACUCCUUCUUCUCGCGAAAAAGGCACAGUUUUGGCUGUGUUGAUGGUAGUGGGGGAAGAAGCGCCGGCUAACUACGUGCCAGCAGCCGCGGUAAUACGUAGGGCGCGAGCGUUGUCCGGAUUUAUUGGGCGUAAAGAGCUCGUAGGUGGUUCGUCGCGUCUGUCGUGAAAGCCAGCAGCUUAACUGUUGGUCUGCGGUGGGUACGGGCGGGCUUGAGUGCGGUAGGGGUGACUGGAAUUCCUGGUGUAGCGGUGGAAUGCGCAGAUAUCAGGAGGAACACCGAUGGCGAAGGC
rnacentral:rRNA from 1 species